AGUGAAAUGUGAUAAGUAAUGUGAAUUGCAGAAUUCAGUGAAUCAUCGAAUCUUUGAACGCAUCUUGCMCCUUUUGGUAUUCCAAAAGGUACACCUGUUUGAGUG
rnacentral:rRNA from 1 species